rnacentral:rRNA from 1 species
GUCCACUGCCCUACCACCUGGAAUGCCCCUAUCUCAUCUGGUCUUGGAAGCUAAGCAGGAUCAGGCCUUGUUAGUACUUGGAUGAAAGACAGAUCUUCAAAAGAGAUUGGUGGAGA